GCAGGAUAAAAACGCCUGGAAGACUUCACUUCAGGGCUGGUGUUCGAUGGUGGCGGCCGCGUUUUGACUUCGUAAACCUGCUCAGUGUUGUUCAUGCAUUGGUUUAAUUUAGAACUCUGUGUGGAGAGGAAACCUGGUCAGUGACGAUGCAGGUUUGACUCCGGCAGAGAGCGUCUCUCCCGGUGUGAACCACACUGACUGCACUGGAGGAGCAGGAAGUCGACACAAACGAGGGAUGAUGAGGCAGCGAGGCAAGGGCCAGCUUCUCUCUGUCCUCACUGAACUAUUAAGAGGCCUGUUACUCACUGUCGGGUUCACAGUGUCAGAAUACAAAAGAUGCUUGAAACCUCUUCUUGGAAGUCCCUCAGGAGG